GAGGAGGCAGUUCUAUUGAUACCGAAGGCGACACGUUACCAUUGGUUUCUGCAGAAAGAAACCAGAAAACGCAUGUCCUUUUCCGUAGAAUUAUGUAGCCACAGUACGUUUUUAUCACUUUAAGCCAAUUGAUUUGGUAUUUAGUCGAGAUAAUUCGAGACAGUUGAAGAAAAAACAACGCAGACAGACAAUCCUGUGAAUGGAAUUUUUUUCGUUGAGUGAAACAGCAGCAGAAACAAACGAUUUGAGAAAUCAUCAAAUCUGAAGAUGUCAGCAAGUAUUUACAAACGGGUCAAAGCAGAGGUCAGUGCCAAACUGAAAAUGUUGAAGUCGAAGAAGUUCAGACGAUUUCAACGCCAUCUGUGUCGGAAGAUGGYUGAUAAGAGUGUUAAGAUGAUGAAAGUGAAAGACAUUGUGGCAGUACUGAUGAAGAAAUAUGGAAAAAAGACCAGUCACKUUGUGUCCUCACUUCUAAAAGACAGUAAAUAUCGGAGUAAACGGAGACGAAGUCAACAAGGCAUUGAGAGCGAGGAGAUUCCGACAAUAACUCCCAUSGAGGUYGAGAUGGAUGACCAACAGGUAAUGGAGCUUUUCUAGAUGUGUUCUUUCCAGCUACAGUGAUUCUGAACGUUCCUAUAGAUGUGUAUGGGACAUCGGUUUGUUUUCUGUUCAUUGGCAGUGCCAUUGAUGCUUUCACCAUUUUGAGCAGUCAACUGGGUGGGGCUUGGUAUGGGUUAGGAGGGAUCAAUAAGAUUCAUUCAGGUCAGCAGGAGGGAUCAUAGAAUUCCAUUCAGGUCAGCAGGAGGGAUCAUAGAAUCCAUUCAGGUCAGCAGGAGGGAUCAUAGAAUUCCAUUCAGGUCAGCAGGAGGGAUCAUGGAAUUCCAUUCAGGUCAGCAGGAGGGAUCAUAGAAUUCCAUUCAGGUCAGCAGGAGGGAUCAUAGAAUUCCAUUCAGGUCAGCAGGAGGGAUCAUAGAAUUCCAUUCAGGUCAGCAGGAGGGAUCAUAGGAUUCCAUUCAGGUCAGCAGGAGGGAUCAUAAGAUUCCAUUCAGGUCAGCAGGAGGGAUCAUAAGAUUCCAUUCAGGUCAGCAGGAGGGAUCAUAAGAUUCACAUUCAGGUCAGCAGGAGGGAUCAUAGAAUUCCUUCAGGUCAGCAGGAAGGAUCAUAGAAUUCCUCCAGGUCAGCA